AUUAAAUUGCUUCCAUGUGAAUCUCCAUGUACGGCUCUGCUUCUAGGCCCCGGACUUAAGAUAGGAAGGAAAGAGGAACUGAACCAUAGCAACUGCAGAGCAUUUGAGACAUUACAGUUGGACUUUCAGCAGGGCAAACAUCACAGUGGCCUUCCUUCCAUACUUACCAAGGAAGAUUGUUCAAAGGACUUUGGGGAUAAAUUAGGGUGGGAAUCUUGGGUGAACAGAGUCUAAUCUCACAGGACCUGAGGCAGGAUGGAGUGAAGUGCACACUAAGACUUUUCAUGAUGAUUUUACUUCAAGCUGUGGGGGUGGCCCCAAUGUGGUCCUGAUCCUGUGCCUGUGGAGGAUUUCAUGGCAUUUUCUGAACCUGGAGGCCCUGGCCACACUCCAUCUUGCGCCAUGCUGCCUACUUGAGUUCCCUGUGCAGUUGCUACCUUCCAGAGCUCCUUGUUCCCCAGAAAAGCAGGCCUCCUCUUCUCUCACUUGGACUGCUGUGGAUCUUCCAAAUGGGUCUCCUUGACUCCCAUCAUUUCCACUCACGUUGAUGGAGAAACUGACCUAAAAUGGUGGCCCGAGAGGAGAGAGAAGUCCCCAGCCUAAGCCCCAGCCCACUUCCGCCUAAGCCCCUCCAAGCCACACCCCGAGCCAAUCGCCAGACGA